AGCGAACGCUGGCGGCAGGCCUAACACAUGCAAGUCGAACGAACUCUUCGGGGUUAGUGGCGGACGGGUGAGUAACGCGUGGGAACCUGCCUUUAGGUUCGGAAUAACUCCCGGAAAGGGGUGCUAAUACCGGAUAUGCUCUUCGGACAAAGGAUUUAUCGCCUUUGGAGGGGCCCGCGUCGGAUUAGCUAGUUGGUGGGGUAAAGGCCUACCAAGGCGACGAUCAGUAGCUGGUCUGAGAGGAUGAUCAGCAAAAUUGGGAUUGGGACACGGCCCGAAUCCUACGGGAGGGAGGAAGUGGGGAUACUGGACAAUGGGGGGAAGGCCUAACGCACCCUGCCGGGGUAGAUAUUGAAGGUUUUAGGAUGGUAAGCUCCUUUACCCGGGGACGUUAAGACAGUACCGGGAGAAUAAGGCCCGGCUUACUUCGUG
rnacentral:rRNA from 1 species